CACGACGUCGUUUCCUCUUUCUUCACCGUUCAAAACAUUUUCCAUUCUUUCAAAUAUCAAAAAAUGGAUCUUUAUCUUCUUCGUUUCGAUUCCAACUUACCAAAUAUAAAACUCACAGAGUUGAAACCCGUUUUUCAUUUUUGCACAAUUCAAAGUUGUAAUACUCCAAAAAUGUUAUCCCCGCUAACUUAUCUUGUGGUUGUCGACGAGAAGACUGUGGACCAUGAUCGACUCCGUCUCUACCUUGCACUCCUCUUCCAAAGGCCUUUGUCG
rnacentral:lncRNA from 1 species